GAUGAACGCUAGCGGCAGGCUUAAUACAUGCAAGUCGAGGGGUAGCAAGAUUGUAGCAAUACAAUUGUUGACGACCGGCAAACGGGUGCGGAGCACGUACACAACCUUCCUACAAGUGGGGAAUAGCCCAGCGAAAUUUGGAUUAAUAACCCGUAACAUAGCGAUGUGGCAUGACAUUGCUAUUAUCGCUUCGGCGGUUGUUGAUGGGUGUGCGGCUGAUUAGAUAGUUGGCGGGGUAACGGCCCACCAGGUCUACGAUCAGUAGCUGAUGUGAGAGCAUAAUCAGCCACACGGGCACUGAGAAACGGGCCCGACUCCGACGGGAGGCAGCAGUAAGGAAUAUUGGACGAUGGACGCAAGUCUGAUCCAGCCAUGCCGCGUGAGGAUUAAGGUCCUCUGGAUUGUAAACUUCUUUUAUAAGGGACGAAAAAAGGUCUUUCUAGAUCGUCUGACGGUACCUUAUGAAUAAGCACCGGCUAACUCCGUGCCAGCAGCCGCCGUAAGAC
rnacentral:rRNA from 1 species